UAUUUCCAAAUUGAGAUUUAACAGUGAAGUGCCGCUAAUAUCUACCGCUUUUUGUGCCGUACCACUAAAAGUUACCGCUUCCAGUGCCGCUACAAAACUCCGCAAGAACAUCCGCUAAGUGUCCAGUUUUUUUACAACAUCACUCCGCUGCUGCUCUCAAACCACUGCUGCCAUCACUCUGCCGCUGCCAUCAAGUCGCUGCUGCUCUCAAACCGCUGCUGCCAUCAAGCCGCUGCUGCCAUCAAGUCGCUGUUGCCAUCAAGCCCAUGCUGCCAUUAAGCCGCUGCUGCCGCUGCCGUCGUGGGAAUGAGCUGCCGCUGCAUCCUGCGCCAAAGGGACGUAAGCGCCGGCAAACAGCCGACGCAACAGGUAACGAGUGCGAAUUACUGAUAGCAGUGCAAAAAAAAAACGCAAACUACAACAAAACAAGUGCACUUUCAGUUUUUGGCUCUCCCUUUUCACUUUAUAUCAUAUUGACUAUAUUGUAUUGGAUCCCAGCGGGAUAAUGGUUCACCGCUUACAUUUUUCUUUGAAGAAUACUUCGAAGAAAAUUCGAUGUAGAAUUCUUCGAUACCUGGUAAUGCAUAAAAGUAAGCUAUACGGCUAAAUUCUACUGUGUUCAUAUUUACAAAUCAAGUAAGUACAUGAAAAACGACAAAUACAAAUUGAUGGAAUAAAAUUUAUAAGUAAAUUUUUUCAUUAUUUCGUCAAAUCAUCAAGCAAAAAGUUGGUCGUGAUCAGAAUGUGUGAAAGUUGAAGGUUUCACCGAGUCGGAGUAUAUACACCAAAUUCAAAAA